UAGGGAAUCUUCCACAAUGGACGCAAGUCUGAUGGAGCAACGCCGCGUGAGUGAAGAAGGUUUUCGGACCGUAAAGCUCUGUUGUUGGUGAAGAAGGAUAGAGGUAGUAACUGGCCUUUAUUUGACGGUAAUCAACCAGAAAGUCACGGCUAACUACGUGCCGGCAGCCGCGGUAAUACGUAGGUGGCAAGCGUUGUCCGGAUUUAUUGGGCGUAAAGCGAGCGCAGGCGGAAGAAUAAGUCUGAUGUGAAAGCCCUCGGCUUAACCGAGGAAUUGCAUCGGAAACUGUUUUCUUGAGUGCAGAAGAGGAGAGUAGAACUCCAUGUGUAGCGGUGGAAUGCGUAGAUAUAUGGAAGAAUACCAGUGGCGAAGGCGGCUCUCUGGUCUGCAACUGACGCUGAGGCUCGAAAGCAUGGGUAGCGAACAGGAUUAGAUACCCUGGUAGUCCAUGCCGUAAACGAUGAGUGCUAAGUGUUGGGAGGCUUCCGCCUCUCAGUGCUGCAGCUAACGCAUUAAGCACUCCGCCUGGGGGAGUACGACCGCAAGGUUGAA
rnacentral:rRNA from 1 species